GCAUCCGCUGCUCUGUUAAGUGAUCACCACAUUCAUUGUUCUCGUUUCUAUUAUUUCUGAAAAAAAUCUUCAGGAUUCUGCUUGUGGGAGUGGAUGACAUUUUUACAGUGUUUACAGACACAAAAUGAACAAGAUGUCUGUGGCAACCCUCAGACCAUUGACGCCUUCUCUCCUAUGUAUCAAAUCACACAUUUGGACGUUGACUGAACCCUCACAUGUCAGAUGCUCAAUAUUGAGGUAUAGUAAAAGGGAGCAUGAACUUGAGAAAAUACGCUUUCAACACAAAGCUGUAAUAAUAUAAGGUCAAAUAAGAUUCUGCAUUGGAGAUAGAAAACUCUGAAGGAAGCUUUAUCUAUUCCAGAAUGUCAUAUAGCUGGUAUAAGAAAGAACACUAAUCAUUCCUAAGGAAGAAAAUUAACAACGCCGUGAGUUAUAAUAUCUGGCUGAAACUGAAGGAGCUCUGUGUAAUUAAAAGUCCUUUCUGCCCUGCCUGGCCAUGGUUCUGUAUGCAUUGAUGUCUUACAAACUGAAAAAAAAAAAAGUUAUUUUCUCAUCUCCAUUCCCUAGCAUAGACAUAUUACAUGAUGUGGAAUUGAAACAAGAAAAUUGCAUUUUAAUCUUCCACUCAGAACAUAGAAGAAUGAAACAAACAAACAAAAAAUACUCUGUUGUCUUAGUCUACCACAAGCAAAAUCUGGCAGUCUCUUUGCUUUGGUAAUGGCAUAAAUUCCUUGAUUAGCCUAUAGGAUAGCCCAUUGUUCUGCUCUUUUAGUGGAAUAGCUAGCAAUUGCUUUGUCAUUUUUUCCCCAUGGUUCCUACCAUUAGUGUUGGGAGGUUUCUUCUUUGUUUUUUUGAGAAAGAGGAAAAAGUUGUUAUAUUUUCAUAAAAACUUAAAUUUCAUCCAAAAUACUUGAUUUUCAUGAAGAAAGUAAAUAUCUCUGCCCCUAGUAUACAUGUGUGGAAACUUUCAGAACCCUGAAGAUAAAUACAUUUCAAACAAGUGAGUUUGAAAAUAUCAAUAGCAAAAUAGGAAGUAAGCUAAUUAGAGAGGUAAGAACUAGAUGGCUUAGCAUUCCAAUAAUAAUAUAUAACCUUCUUUAAGAGUAAAAUCUUGGUCAAAAGACAGAUGAAAACUCCAAUAAAAUUUCACAACUCAUGGAAAAGUCUAUCUUCGUAAUUCUUUAUGAAGCAAACUAUAUAUAUAUAAAACAUAUAUAUAUAUAUAUUUGAGACAGAGUUUCGCUCUUGUUGCCCAGGCUGGAGUGCAGUGGUGCGAUCUUGGCUCAUGGCAGCCUCUGUCUCCCGGGUUCAAGUGAUUCUCCUGACACAGCCUUGUAAGUGGUUGGGAUUACAGGUGUGUGCUAUCAUGCCCGGCUAAUUCUGUAUUUUGAGUAGAGACGGGGGUUUCUCCACGUUGGUCAGGGUGGUCUCGAACUCCCGACCUCAGGUGAUACCCUCGCCUCGACCUCUCAGAAUGCUGGGAUUAGAGGCUUGAGCCACCACGCCUAGCUGCAAACAUAUUUCUUAUAUUUUCCAACAUCACAAAAUUUUACUGAGCUAUGAUAUGUACUAAAAGCUGAUAAAGAUGGUGUUGUUAUAUUUAACAGUACUCUGAAUUUUGUUGCCAUUUCUAAAAUUGUAUUCAGAGGAAAUUAUGCCCAUGUUUCUAUAGAGAGAAUUUUAAAAAAUACAUGAGCAUAGAAAUUUGAGCAACAUUGAUUAAGGUUCCAUAAAAUUGAAGCAGGAAAUAGUAUAGAAUAUACUUUUGCUCACUCUAUUAAAAUAAGUCUCUCAUAAGUAUGCUUCAGUUAAGUUCGAAGGGUAGGAAAAUUAACCUGGAACGGGGCAUUCAGAUAUAAGUAAGUUUAUUUUGGAGAAAUUUCUAUGUCAGCUGAGAUUAUUUUCUAUAAAAACAGAAGAAAGAUGAAUAUCACUAAUGAUAGCACAAACCACUAAUUAGAAGGCAGUAUGUAGAAUUUUUCUGGAAAAAUAAAACUAUAAAUGACAAAUUAAUUUUAGCAGAAAUUGUAAGAAAAUGCAAUGAGGGUAAUAGGAAUGUUAUCUUUGAAUACAAUGGACAGCAAAUUGUAAACUGAAUGUAUUCACUAACACAAAAGAGAAAAUUACUUUUAAUGAUUGCCUAUUGUUUCUCUCUACAUAAAGUUUGAGUUUCAUGUCUGAUGACCUUAUGGCUUUUUAAAUAGACACUUCAUGUGACAUCAUUAAAUUACUUUAUACAGUAUUACUACAUUUCUAUGGUAAAAUUUAAGCAAGAGAUUAAUUUUGAAAGACUUUCAGAGAAAGACUUGUAAAUACAGACAUGAGACAUAAAUCUGAUGUGGGCCUUUGCUUUGUUUUGCUUAUUUUCUUUUAGUUUUUGUUUAAUAAAAAAUUGGGGUUUGUAAAAGUUUAGAAUACUCGCAGGAAUGUUGUCUAGCAACAUUUUUGGUUAUAUUAGUAACAUAACUACAUGGAAUAACAGCAAGAAAUUUUCUUCCAUGAAAAAUUAAUUUUCCAUUUCUAUUGCAAGGGGAGAGAAACAACUAAGUGCUGCAUAUAUCCCCCAAAUUAUAUUUAAUUAUUUCAUACUUAAAUUUUCUUUGUUACCACAGCGUAAAGGGUUGUCACAGUGCAAUGGUGGCACCUAUUGGCAUAUGGGAUAUAUGACAUUAAACUGUCUGAAUUUUCCCCAAAUUUUCUCUAUUCAGUGCAUAUAAGUUCUAGAAUUGAAGAACGCAUGGCUAAAAUCAGCACUUUCAAUUUUAAAUGAACAAGUUUAAAAGCCAACACUAAAUGCAAUGUGUAAGGUGGCAUUAGUCAUGGAGGUUUUCUGACCAUGGGACAUUAAAAAUAAUGAGAAGAGAAAACAAUGUCAAUAUUUAUUUCACAAUAAUGCUUUUGUGAAACAGUGAAAUAAUGAAAAAUCAGAAAUAUAGAUAGAUAGAUAGAUAGAUAGAUAGAUAGAUAGAUGCAGAUAUACACCAUAAAGACAUACACUAAUCAGGGAGCUAUUCACUGGAGAGAAAAGAUUAAACUAAUCAGGUUAAUAAUUAUGUAUAUAUAGAAAAGUGAAUCAUAUACCAUAUUUAUAGACUCACCGUGAUGGAUCAGUUUUCUCUAUAUAACAUCCAAGCAUAAAACGUGGAGAAAUCAGCUAAUGAGGAGUUCAGUCAGAUCUACAAAACAAUGAUAAUUGAUUCCUUCUAUAUAAUUUUUCUUCUUAGGCCUGGAUAUAUUGUAUAUAACAUAAUAUUUAAUUUGUACUAUUUAUGAUAUAUAAUGUGCAAUAUAUAAUGUAAAAUCAUAAGAUUAAUUUUGGAACACGCUCUUACGUUAUUGAAACACAGAUUAAUAAUGUAUAUAUUAUAUAUUACUCAUAUAUAUCAUUACUGUAUAUAUAUUACUCAUGCUUUCAGUCACAUGAAGAGAGCUUCUAAGUAUUAAUGUAUGACAUACUAAAAUGAAUGAGCGUUCUCCACAAAACAUACUUUCAUCACCCAAUGAAUAUUUAUAUUAUGUUGCCAAUUACAGAGUAGGAAGUAUUGGAUAUAAAUACUGUUCUCAUGGAGCUUACAGUGUUAAUGCAUUUGUCUUUUAUAUCUAAUACUUAUUAUAUUAUUUCCGUUAUUAUAAUAUAAGGGAAAUGUAUGUUAUAGUAAUGACAAGGAUAAUAACAAUGAUGCAAUGAAAGAGGUGAUCAAGGACAAGGGUUAGAAUGACAAAAAGAGAAAAAUAAGGUAGUGUUAAAUUAUAUGAAGACAAAGUAAGCAAGAGGAGUUGGUAGAUGGAUUGUGGGUGGGGGUGCACAAUGUUAAACAGGUGAUUCAUGUAGUCUCCAGUGAUAUGACAUUCAAGCCAAACCUGUAUUAGGUUAAUCAAUGCUGAAUCCAUUUUUUCUAAUGUGGAGUGAAUAGUGAUAGCACAAUUUCUAGAGGAAAAUUUAGGUUUGGGGUAGAAAUUUAGAAGUCAUCAAAAUAUGUAUUUUAUUUAUGCACAAAAGACUGGAUGAAAGUACUAAAAGAGGGUAAAUGUUUACAGAGAAAAGAAGAGUUCCAAGCGUUCAGUCCUGAAGUACUCCAGCAUUUGUGAGAUUGAUUAAAACAGAAAGAACUAGAAUGAGUGACUUAAAAAAAGAGAAUGUGGUUGUUGGAGAAAACACAGAAGAAUGUGGUAUCUUCCCCAAGAAGAAAGAAUAAAUAAGAAUUUGUGCUAAUGAUUGCUGAUAGACCUAAUAUGAGGAAAACUGAGUGAUUACUAUUGAGUUAUCAAUAUAUGUACACCACUGGUGACCUAGAGAAGUUUGGUGAGUGCCAGAGGCAAACUCCAGAUUGAGCAGAUUCAAGAGGAAAUGGAAACAAGUGAAUAGAAGAAGUGAACAGAGCUAUAAGAGUACAGACAGCUUUAUGUAUGAUCUCUGCUCUAAAGAAGAGCAAGGAGAUUGGGAGGCCGAGGUGGGUGGAUCACCAGGUCAGGAGAUCGAGACCAUCUGGGUUAACACGGUGAAACCCCGUCUCUAUUAAAAAUACAAAAAAUUAGCCGGGCGUGGUGGCGGACGCCUGUAGUCCCAGCUACUCGGGAGGCUGAGGCAGGAGAAUGGCGUGGACCCAGGAGGCGAAGCUCAGUGAGCUGAGAUCGCGCCACUUGCACUCUCAGCCUGGGCGACAGUGCGAGACUCCAUCUAAAAAAAAAAAAAAAAAAAAGAAAGAAAAGAAGAGCAAGGAGAAUUAACAAACCAUCUGUGUUUUUUUUUAUGGUUUGUUAUACAAGUGGGUAGAGACUCAGCAACACUCUAUGUCUAUUAGCAGAGUUUCUAAAGUACAAUAUAGUAAGUGGACUAAGGGAUAGUUCAACUUGGUCAGAUUAAGAGGCAAACAUCAUAAUUACAGCUAUGCUAAGUGGGCAGUCAGCAUACAAUAAGCACUUUUCUAAGUGCUUUACAUACAUUGUCAUAAUUAAUCCCCAUCAAAAAACAUAGAAUAUCAUUAUCUCAUUUUUAUAGAAAGAAACCAAGCCAUAGACAAGUAAGGGAGUCCUACGGCCAUACCACCCUGACUGUGCCUGAUCUCUUCAGACAAGUAAGGGGCUUGCCAGUUUUCAAAGGUACAUAAUCAGAGAACAAAAGCCCAAAUAGUACAUUCCUCUUACCAAAAUGAAUACAUUUUCCACUAUCAAAACUCUUUCUUUGUGAGUAGAAGGAAAACAACAAGGAAAUCAUGCUUGAGCAGAUGAUAUAGAACAUAGAAUGGCUUGCAAAGAGCUUGCAAAGAGGUUGUGGGAGGUUUUAAAGCUUAUGAGUGUGACUGUGGCUUAGAAUCAUUUUUAUUUCAAGAAUGAAAAUGAAAUUAGUUUGGGUAAAAAAUGAUGGGACUGUCUUAGAACGUAGAAUAUAAUAUGGACAAAUAAAUAUUUAAUAUAUGAGAAUGGAACACAGGAGAGGAAUUCUAGUCGUAAGUACCACUUUGGAUGUCAUCUGCAUAGCAUUGAUAUCCAUUAGUUAAUGAAUUCUAUAGUAUUUGAUCACCUAGUCUCUGAGUACUGAGCUACAUGUUACAAGUACAGGAGUGAAAUAGAUAGACUUCUGCUGUCAGCAAUUUUACUGAAAAAUAGACAAUAUUGAUAAAGAAGCAUAAUUAAAAUACAUUGUGGUGAUUGCUUAAACAUCAACAUAUUAUAUCAGCAUAUGUAAGCAUCUCUAAUCUGUAUUUGGAGGAUGAGUGUUAGAGAAGGCUUUCAGAGUAGAUGAAAUUGUUAUUUUUUUAAGAGAAAACAUGCAAAGAAAAAACUAACCCAGAUCUUUCGAAAAUAUCUGAAAAUAAGACCAAGAGAGUCAAAGAAGGAACAAUUUUCUAGUAGAAGAUGAAUAAAUCUAUAGACUUUUCUGCAAAGCAAUGUGAAAUACUGAUUAUAAAAGGAAACAUUUAACAAAUACCACCUAAAGCUUUUUUUGAUAUAAAAUUAGAAAAGUACAUAUGACUUGCUACUGAGUAGUUUCCUCUCUGACAGAGGGAAGGCAGCUCUCUGAACAUGUUAAAUUAAAGAAUAAGUGCCUGGUUAGGAAGCACAGGCAGGAAAUAAGGGCUAAAGCUUUCAAAAAGAAGAAAGGUAAGUACAAUACUGAGGGAAAAAUGUAAAGGCAUUGCCAUGAAGGCAGAGAAAUCACUUACACAGAUCAGAAUCCAAGAACAGACCAACAUAAAGUCAGUCUCUAGACCCUGAGCACUGAAUGCCCCCGAGUGAACAAAAAGAAGGCUUCAUAAGCAGUGAGCAUCAAACAUUAGAAGGAAUUUCAAAUGUGUGUGAUCUCUUUAUCCUGAUGGAUCUUCAAUUGCAUAAUUUUCCAUUAGAUUGGACAAAGAUUGUUGACCUCCCUCUGGUGGACAGGAGUCACCUAAAUAAAUGAUCUGUGGUACAUAUACUGCCACCUUCUCCCUUUCCCCAUACCUAUAUGCACAGCUUCUGAGACUAAAACAAAUGCUGAUUUAUGCUGCCAACAAUCUUCCAAUAGUCAUAGACCUUACUUCCAGAACAACAUACUCUCAAGUAGACAGAGUGAAAAGAUUGAUCAAUCCAUAAGAGAUCUCAAGUCUACUUUCAAAUGUCAUUUUGCUUAUGAUUGAAAUGUUUUAAGAUAGCCUCAUUGAACUCAGCAUUAUUUCAUGCUGGACAGCUCUCUACAGUCUAUACCAUUCUAGUACACUACAGAAUGACAUCUUAUUCAAAGAUGGAUACUAAAGUUAGCAGAAAAGACAGAUGUCACAUAAUUGAAAUCACAGUUGGGAAGAAUUUGGGAAGACAUCAUGCACAUAUUCAGUGAGCAACUAAUAUAGUUUUUAUUUGCUAAUUUUUAUUUUAUUUUUAUUUGAAAAAUAACAAUGAUAAGAGUACAGUGUGAUUCUUGAUAUAUGUAUACAUUAUGCAAUGAUUCAAUUAGGCUUAUUAACAUAUCCAUCACCUGACAUACUUAUUUUUUUGUUUGGUGAGAGCAUUUAAAAUCUACUCUGUUAGUAAUUGUGAAAUAUACAUUACAUUACUAUUAACUAUAGUCACUAUGCUCUGUGAUAGAUCUCAAAAACUUACUAUUCCUGUCUAACUGAAAAUUUGUAUCCUUUUACAAAUAUCUCCACACUUUCACCCCACCCCCACCUCCACGGCACAGCUCUUGGCAACCUCCAUUCUACUCUCCUAUUCUAUGACUUUUUUAGAUUCCACAUGUAAGCGAGAUGAUGUAGUGCUUUGUCUUUCUGUACCUGACUCAUGUCAUUUAGCAUGGUGUCUGAUAGUUUUAUUCAUGUUGUUGCAAAUGAUAGGAUUUCCAUCUUUUUAAAGGCAAAAUGGUGAUCUAAUGUGUAUACAUACCACAUUUUCUUUAUUCAUCCAUCUGUUGAUGGACACUUAGAUUGAUUCCACAUCUUUAUUAUUCUGAAUAGAGCUGUGAUAAACAUGGAAGUGCAUAUACCUCUUAAACAUACUGAUUUCAGUUCCUUUGCAUAUACACCGAGAAGGGGGAUUGCUAUGCACUUUUUAUUUUUCAUACAAAAUUGGAAACCAAUACUGCAUUUUUGAUUGAGGUCUUAUUUGUAAAAGGGGCUAUGUUGAACCUUGACUAGGAUCUUUCUGUCUCUGAACACAUUCAAGUUGUCAGAAAAUUCUCUCACCUACAUCUGCCCAUCUCUCCUCACCUCCAGCACUUCAUCUUGAGACCAAACUGGAAAAGUCUUUUAUUAGAAUUUUCCCCCAAUUGACUCCAAUCAGCUUUUCCUUCUCCUACCCCAUUGUUCCCUUUAAUUCUCAGCACAGUAGGCAGGGAUCCUGUUAAAUAAAAAAUAUAAAAUGUCAGCCUUCCACUCAAACCUUCCUAAUGGCUUCCCAUCUUGAGGCAGGAGAAUCACUUGACCAAGAGAUCAAGACCAGCCUAGACAACAUAGUGAGAUCCCUGUCUCUACAAAAAUUACAAAUAAUAACCAUAAUGAGGCGUGGUGGUGCAUGCCUGAGGUCUCAGCUACUCAGGAGACUGAGGUGGGAGGAUUGCUUGAGAUCAAGUCUGCAGUGAGCUAUGAUCAUACCACUGCACUCCAGCCUGGGCGACAGAGAAAGACCCCAUCUCAAAAAAAUAAAUAAGAAAUAAAAGUAAAGUAAAAUAAAAUAAAAGUGAAAAUUUUGAUUAAUACCAGGUAAACUUCUGCAUGAGGAAAACCCCACCCCCUCCUUUAUCUUUCUAAACAGAUUCAAGCAGGUCUCACCUCAGAGCCUUUGGACUUGCUGUUCCCAAUGACAGAUGUGCUCUCAACCAAAUUUCAUUGUGUUAAGUUCCUUUACCUCCAUUGGUAUGUUGCCUACAUUUCGUCUUCCCAGUGUUGUGGCCAACACACAGGCACAUACAUGCACGUGGACACACACACACACACACACACACGUCUUUUAGCUUUGAUUGGCUUAUUGCACUAAUCACAUCAAAUGUAUCACUUAUUUAGCCUUUUUUU
rnacentral:lncRNA from 10 species